UACGUAGGGUGCAAGCGUUGUCCGGAAUUAUUGGGCGUAAAGAGCUCGUAGGCGGUUUGUUGCGUCGGCUGUGAAAUCCCGAGGCUCAACCUCGGGUCUGCAGUCGAUACGAGCAAACUAGAGUGCUGGAGGGAGACUGGAAUUUACGGUGUAGCAGUGAAAUGCGUAGAUAUCGUAAGGAAGACCAGUGGCGAAGGCGAGUCUCUGGACAGCAACUGACGCUGAGGCACGAAGGCCAGGGGAGCAAACGGG
rnacentral:rRNA from 1 species